CCGCGUGAGCGAAGAAGGCCUUCGGGUCGUAAAGCUCUGUUGUUAGGGAAGAACAAGUAUCGGAGUAACUGCCGGUACCUUGACGGUACCUAACCAGAAAGCCACGGCUAACUACGUGCCAGCCAGCCGCGGUAAUACGUAGGUGGCAAGCGUUGUCCGGAAUUAUUGGGCGUAAAGCGCGCGCAGGCGGUCCUUUAAGUCUGAUGUGAAAGCCCACGGCUCAACCGUGGAGGGUCAUUGGAAACUGGGGGACUUGAGUGCAGAAGAGGAGAGUGGAAUUCCACGUGUAGCGGUGAAAUGCGUAGAGAUGUGGAGGAACACCAGUGGCGAAGGCGACUCUCUGGUCUGUAACUGACGCUGAGGCGCGAAAGCGUGGGGAGCAAACAGGAUUAGAUACCCUGGUAGUCCACGCCGUAAACGAUGAGUGCUAAGUGUUAGAGGGUUUCCGCCCUUUAGUGCUGCAGCUAACGCAUUAAGCACUCCGCCUGGGGAGUACGGCCGCAAGGCUG
rnacentral:rRNA from 1 species